rnacentral:lncRNA from 1 species
CAAAAGCAUGUGAAACAAAUAAAUUUGAGACACCAGUAUCAAUCAAAACAUGUUCAAGAAGACUAUAGAUAGUGUACAUACCUUGUAUCAUGUUUGGGUUGGCCUCUGCAUCCUGCUGAGUGAGGUUGUAAGCCCUGCCCUAGAUAGGAGGUCUGGUCUGGUUCUGAUUCCUCGGGCACUCCCUUGCGUAAUGCUGGAUAAUCCCGCAUAUGCGACAGGUAUUGUUGAGGCAAUAGCAGGGUCGGUCCUCAUAAUCCUUGCCACAGUGUUGGCAAGUCCUGCCGCAUCCCGUUGUUGGAAUUUAAGGAGGAGCCUGAGUCAUUGGCUUGGGUCUCUUGUUCUGCUGAGCAGGUGCAGUAAGUGCUAGUGUACAGUGUGAAACUGGGGGCCUGAGGUUCUCUACUACUAGAGGGAAAAUGUGAAGGUUCCUCUCCAUUAGCUGUGCUUUGGCCAGAAUAGCCGAGUAAGUACUGAGUUCCAAUACAUGCAGCUGUUGUCUGAUCUCAGGACGGAGGCCCCACUCGAACCUCCUUGCCUUUCUACCUUCAUCUAUCAUGCUCUUAGGGGAAUACCAGCCCAACUCUAGGAACUUUCGGGCAUAUUCUGAUACAGUCAUGUCACCUUGGACUAGGUGUGCAAACUCCAUUUCCUUCAGAUAUCAAAGAUGGUCUGCGAUGUACUCUGCAUUAAAUUCUACCAAAAAUUGUUCCCAAGCGACUAGAAUAGGCAAGGUGGCCUACUUGAGUUGCCACCAGCAGUCUGUUUCUCCCACUAGCAUGUAGGUGGAAAGUAUGACUCUCUAUUCGAGAAUCACCCCUAGAGUCGUGAAGGCCUUCUCCAUCUUAGCUAACCAGUACUCGACCUCUUCAAAGGAAGAUCCCCUUGUAAAAGUAGAUGAAUUUAGUCUUUUAUACCUCUCAAUGUAGCCUGGGUCCAUAUGGGAGCAACUGGGUCCCGUGGGAGAGGGACUGGAUUGUGCUGAGGAUGGAUUGGAUGGCCCUGUGGUGGUACUAGAUGAUACAGUGGAGACACUGGAUUGAACUGUGGUGGUGCUGGGUGAUGCGGUUAAGUGAUAAUUCAUUCUUUGGGGUUUCCUAGGGUUUUUAUGUAAGGAAUGGUUUUGAGUAACGCGACUUUGAUAUUAACUGUAACAGCCUAUAACUUGGAAGGAAGUAAAUUAUAAAUUAAGUGUGGAAGCGAAAUAAUAGUGUUAAGGUUUACAUUCCUUACAC